rnacentral:rRNA from 1 species
GCUAGUUGCACGAGUUCACACUCGUAGCAUAUAGCUCAGUAACACGUGGUCAAGCUACCCUGCAGACACGGACAACCUCGGGAAACUGAGGCUAAUCCGCGAUACCGAUCCCACGCUGGAAUGCCGGGAUCCACAAACGCUCCGGCGCUGCAGGAUGCGGCUGCGGCCGAUUAGGUAGACGGUGGGGUAACGGCCCACCGUGCCGAUAAUCGGUACGGGUUGUGAGAGCAAGAGCCCGGAGACGGAAUCUGAGACAAGAUUCCGGGCCCUACGGGGCGCAGCAGGCGCGAAACCUUUACACUGCACGCAAGUGCGAUAAGGGGACUCCGAGUGCGAGGGCAUAUAGUCCUCGCUUUUGAGAACCGUAAGGCGGUUCUCGAAUAAGAGCUGGGCAAGACCGGUGCCAGCCGCCGCGGUAAUACCGGCAGCUCAAGUGAUGGCCAAUCUUAUUGGGCCUAAAGCGUCCGUAGCUGGCCACGAAAGUCCGUCGGGAAAUCCAUCUGCCCAACAGAUGGGCGUCCGGCGGAAACUUCGUGGCUUGGGACCGGAAGGCUCGAGGGGUACGUCCGGGGUAGGAGUGAAAUCCCGUAAUCCUGGACGGACCGCCGAUGGCGAAAGCACCUCGAGAAGACGGAUCCGACAGUAG